GACGAACGCUGGCGGCGUGCCUAAUACAUGCCAGUUGAGCGCUGAAGGUUGGUACUUGUACCAACUGGAUGAGCAGCGAACGGGUGAGUAACGCGUGGGGAAUCUGCCUUUGAGCGGGGGACAACAUUUGGAAACGAAUGCUAAUACCGCAUAAAAACUUUAAACACAAGUUUUAAGUUUGAAAGAUGCAAUUGCAUCACUCAAAGAUGAUCCCGCGUUGUAUUAGCUAGUUGGUGAGGUAAAGGCUCACCAAGGCGAUGAUACAUAGCCGACCUGAGAGGGGGAUCGGCCACAGUGGGACGGAGACACGGCGCAAACGCCUACGGGAGGCAGCAGUAGGGAAUCGUCGGCAAUGGACGAAAGUCUGACCGAGCAACGCGGCGUGAGUGAAGGAGGGUUUCGGAUCGUAAAACUCGGUUGGUAGAGAAGAACGUUGGUGAGAGUGGAAAGCUCAUCAAGUGACGGUAACUACGCAGAAAGGGACGGCUAACUACGUG
rnacentral:rRNA from 1 species